UUCGUAUUGCAGGACCCGAAAUUGCAUCUCCCAAAAACACUUUUGUCUACUGCUAACUCGCUUGCGUGUUCUUCAUCUUCAUCUUCAUCUUCCUUAGAUUCGGUUUCUAUCUACCGAAAACCCUUUGAUUCGGUUUCUAUCUACCGAAAAUCCUUCGAUUCGGUUUCUAUCCCUUUGAUUCGGUUUCUAAUAUCUACCGAAAAUCCUUCGAUUCGGUUUCUAUCUUCCGAAAACACUUUAGAAGUCCAUGAAUUUGCGAUUUGUUUUCCAUGAAUUUGGGUUUUCCAUUAAUUUAGAGCUUUCCUCAGAAGUCAGAUUGUGAACAUAUUUGGUUUCAGAUCAUGUUACUAUGAACUUCGCCAAAAGUGGA
rnacentral:lncRNA from 1 species